GAAUUACUCCCUCCGUUCGGAAUUACUUGUCUCGGAAAUGGAUGUAUUUAGAAUUAAAAUACAUCUAGAUACAUCCAUUUCUUCGACAAGUAAUUCCGAACGGGGGAAGUAAUAG
rfam:Triticum aestivum genome assembly, contig: Triticum_aestivum_CS42_TGACv1_scaffold_193600_3AL